CCCUGAGGCUAAGGCUUUAGCCUGCCGAGGGCCUUAACAGGGUUCCCGUAGAGCUCAAAAGUCUCCCUGGAAGGAAAUGGGAAAAGGCGGAGCUUAGAGAGAAAAACUACCCCCACGUGACCGAAAUCUGGCCUUGCUAUUGGCUCCCGUCUCGAUUUACCGAUCGAUAUAAAAUCGGAAAUUCAGUGAAGCCUAUACUCCCUGCCACGCGAUUUUCAACCCACGGUCCCACAUUUUUCAGUCACCGCCGAAACCUGAAAAUGGAAUUGCGUGGUAUACCCAGGGGUAGUUUUUGUGAUAGAAAUGUAAAUGUAAACAAACAAUAGAUUUAGAAUGCAUUCGAAGAUUCGUGUAUUAUAUUAUCAAAGGAAAAGUAAUUAAAAAUGUUUUCCAUGCCUAACAAAAAUUGGCGUUUACUUCCGAAUUUUAUUUAAGUUAAUAUUUAAUGUUUCGGUAUUCCCAAGUUUCACUGUAUUCAUUCAGCUUUUUGUUAUGUCCUAUAGUCCUAGUCCACAGACACAUACCAACAGUUGCUUCCAUUGAAAAAAAAACGAUUAAACAUUCAACAACUUGUGUAAACAGUUAUAUAAUUGGUCUCUUACUAAAUUAAGUUAUUUCAGGAACUUCAGCAUGUUCUUCAGUAUAUCGAAACAGUGCCAACCCACCUGUGCCAAACUACAUGUUUACAACUGGAGUAAAUGUAGCAUGGAUCAACUUACAGUGACCAACUUACAGUGACCAACUUCCAGUGACCAACUUGUGGCUAGAGUCGAUACUUACAAGGGUAUUAGUUGCAAUGCUUCCUGACAUGGCAAAUUAUUCCAUAGCAGAAAUAGAUGCUAUUUGUCGAAAAGCUAAAGUGUUUUGGAGCCAAUUCACUGUGAUGGAGCCCAAGCUGUUAGCUGUAGGUAAAAUUCCAAUUGAUGUUGAAUCGAUGUCAAUUGAUUUAUAAAGGUGUUGGUGCUCUUUACGUGAUAGGCCGACCACGGGUUAGGAUUGAAGCUCUGCAAAGUGGAGGUGGUCAGGAAUGAGGGAUACGUAGUGGAACAGUUCCUAUUCCACUGACAGAGUGACAGUUGGUUUUGGCGCAGCAUGUGAAGUAGCUCAGCAAGAACUUAAGUAUAAUCAUGCCAGAUUAGUAAACUAUCGCAACGCUUGAUCGAUCAGAUUGGUAAUAGUUUAACACAUGUCGUACGAAAUUGAGAUCCUGAACACUCCUACCCAGGUUGUGUAAACCUUUCUUUCGCCUACGUCGAGGGAGAAAGUCUUUUCAUGGCCCUGAAAGACGUGGCACUCUCAAGCGGAAGUACUUGCACCUCAGCAUUGCUGGAACUUUCAUAUAUUUUGCGGACCAUUGGCGCUGAAGAAGAUUUGGCGCAUUCUUCUAUUCGAUUUGGAAUUGGG